AAACGAAAGUUGAAAUCAGACUAAAUAAUGGCUUCUGGAGGAGCAGAUACUGUUGUAUAAUAACAAUUGGGAUGUUACUUCC